ensembl:lncRNA
CCUACAUUUCUUAUUGUUUGGUGAAACUUGCCCUGGAGCUAAUAUGAGAGAGUCUAGCACUAAAUCUCAUCCUGUAUUGUCUAACAAGGCUCGAGACACUUGUAGAAAACUUUGGACCUUCCUAAAUUAUUCCUAAGAUUAUUUGGUUCUGGCAACCCAUUUCGUGGUUCAUUUGAAUUGUUGAGUCAAAAAGGUUUUGGGUCAAGCAGAAAUCAUGAUGAUGUUUGUCAUCACUCUGGAUCUCUGGAUAACAUCAGUGACGAUUGCAAAGUCGGGUAGAUCCCAGGUUUUUUUGUUGUGUUUUUUUUUUUUGCUAAAAUGAAUUUUGAAACUUAAGAAUAAAUAAGCCAAAGAAUAAACUAAAUUCCAAUUAUGAAAAGUGCUUCCCUGUCCAUCUUCCUCACUCCGCAUUAUGAUAAUAGGUACAGUUCCUAUCAGAGUUUCUGAUAAUGUUCCGGACAUUUAGUUUGGUCCUGUUUGUGCUUAAUGAUAUUUUUAAAAAUUGUUUAUCCAUUAACAGGUCAACAACCAUCUGUAUAAUCUAGUUUUUAAAGGACAUUUACAUGUGUCCAACCUCAUAUUUACAGUCAGGUCCAUAAUUAUUUGGACAGUGACACAAUUUUCGUGAUUUUAACUCCGUAAACCACCACAAUGGAUUUGCAAUGAAGCAAUCAAGAUUUGUUUUGAUUUGAACUGUAGAUUUUCAGCUUGAAUUCAAGGAGUUUAACAAAAAUAUUGCAUUAACUGUUUAGGAAUUACAGCCAUUGUUUACAGUCCCUGUGUAUUGAUGAUGUGGCUGCUGAUAGAAGUAGCAGGAUGAAUUCUGAAGUGUAUAGAGCUAUAUUUUCUGCUCCGAUUCAGUCGAAUGCUGCAAAACCGAUAUGACGGCGUUUCACAGUACAGAUGGUUAAUGACCCAAAACGUACCGCUAAAGCAACCCAAUAACUUCUUAAGGCAAAGAAAUUAAAUGUUCUUAAAUGUGUGAUGACCUCAACCCAACUGAGCAUCCUUUUCACAUUCUGAUGACAAAACUGAAGGCAGAAAGACCCACAAACAAGCAACAACUGAAGGUGGCUGCAGUAAAGGCCUAGUAAAGCAUCUCAAGGGAGGAAACUCAGCAUUUGGUGAUGUCCCUAGGUUCCAGAUUUUAGAGAGUGAUUGACUGCAAAGGAUUUGCAUCCAAGUAUUAAAAAUAAUACUAAUAUUUAAAUAGUUAGUUUGUCCAAUUACUUUAGAGCCUGUGAAAAUGGUUUGACUCGGCAAAGAUGCUGUAAUUCAUAAACGCUUAAUGCCAUAUUUUUGUUGAACCCCUUGAAUUAAUGCUGAAAGUCUACACUUCACUCACAUCUUGAUUGCUUCAUUUCAAAUCCAUUGUAGUGGUGUGCAGAGUUAAAAUAACGAAAAAAUGUGUCACUGUCCAAAUACUUACGGACUUGACUGUAUACUCCAGGGAAACAGGAUAUGGUCAAAGGCAAUCAUAGAGUUCCUAGAGUUAAAAGUCAGGUUGUUUGAAUUAUUUAUUUCUGCCCAUAUUUUGAAUGGAGCUAAUUAUAUAUUAAGCUGGUACUGCACAAUCCCACCUAAAUGAGUCUCUCUAUUAAAUACCAUAUUGGUUUAAUCAGUUACUUUGUAAUCAAUAGAUCAAACUGAUCAUAUCUAAUCAAGCUGAUCAAUUCUAUGCUCGAGAUGAGUUUCCUCAGCAGGCGAAACUUUAACAUUAACAUGCUACACGUUUUGCCGCUUUGCUAAAUCCUCCAGAAAGGUGAGUCAUCACGAGUUUAAUUUCUGCUUGACCAAAAUAUUAAUCUCCACUGCAGAGCUUUUAAGUCUCUGGAGGUGUUGCUAGCAUUUGCACAUUACAGAGCUCCGUGGUUAAGGUUCAAGUUCAAAUCCAAGCAUGGCCGAGAGCAACGCACAACUACUCAGCUUGGACUGGAUUUAGCCUCGCUUGAAUGAAAAUGUACUUUAAUGUGAUCAUGGACAAGAAUUGGCGUAUUUCUCUCGAUUUUCUUUACUAACCUGAGGACAGAAUUUUGGGAUGGCUUGUCCCUCUAAUUCCCAGAAAAGUCCCCUAGAUAACUUGUCUCCAUUUCGUCCAUUAAUCUGGAAUAUCUCUGGAUGGUGGAUUGUAGUAAUGAGUUCGUAUAACACUUUAUUUUGCAGACUUUAUUAAGGAUUUUGCACUAAUCCUGCUCAUAAUCCAAACCAGAGGCCAAAGUGAACACCGCCAGCGUUAGUGUAAACAGAUCUGUCGUACAUCAAUAUGGGGGCGGCUGUGGUUCAGGUGGUAGAGCGGGUUGUCCACUAAUCGUAGGGUUGAUGGUUCGAUUCCCGGCCGACAUGACUCCACAUACCGAAGUGUCCUCGGGCAAGACAUUGAACCCCAAGUUGCUCCUGAUGGCAAGUUAGCGCCUUGCAUGGCAGCUCUGCUACCAUUGGUGUGUGAGUGUGUGUGUGAAUGGGUGAAUGAGACACAGUGUAAAGUGCUUUGGAUAAAAGCGCUAUAUAAGUGCAGACCAUUAUUUAAAACCAUAAACUAAUAGAUGACACUGAGGGUCCGCGAGAUCGAGUUGAGGACUUGAGGCCAAAUAGGAAAUAAAACAGGAAGUGUUCUGUGAAAGGGAAUUUCUUAACUUGUUGAAUCCUAUAUAAGUAACAUGUGAUCUUCAGUGAUGUCCAAGUGGACUUUUUUAGUUUGAUCAACAUGGUGGUUUGUUUUCACUUUGGUUUCCUACAUUAGCCACAAUGCUGAUCACGGUGCAGUGGGAUUUUACCCUUUGUUUCAUCUCUACCUAGAGAGAGUGAUGCAGCAGCGCUUUAGUCUUUUAGUCUGUCCAGCUCUCUCACCUUUACAAACAGAUAACUUCCAAAGCUUUCGCUCUAAAGCCAUCGCUCGUCUUCUUAUAGAUCACCAACUAGCCGAGCCGAGUCUUUCCGUAACCUGUAGCUGCAUUGUUUUGUGGGAAUUUGAGUAAAACGAUUGGCAUCUCCUUUACUCCUACAUUGGAUUUUUCGAUAAUAGGACAUUUGAAAAUGCAGUGUGAAGAACGCUCGUAGCUUCCAGAUCCUGCCAGGCCUGUGUAGGCUCGUGCGGCUGGCAGCGGAGACGGAGGAAGAGAGCAGGAGGAUGGAGAUUACUCACAUCGUUCUUGCUGUAAGUCUAAAGAGAAGCUCAGGAUCCUGAGGGUUAUUACUACAGGCAGAUCGCUCAGCUUUAACGUUUUGUGUUACGCUCUGGCAAGAGAGACAGUCAGAGAGUAAGUCACAGAAUGUUUAUCCAUCUUCACAUGUUGGCAUGUUGGUAAGGUUACUCCAUACCGUUCAUUGUUGGUUUGGAGACUGCAUUUUACAAAUGGUUUCAGCUCUUUCAGGUUUAUUUAUUUACACAGUACUGUUACCCAGAUGAGGACGGGUUCCCUUAGUGGUCUGGUUCGUCUCAAGGUUUCUUCCUCAUAUCAUUUUAGGGAGUUUUUCCUCACCAACGUCGCCACCGGAUCGCUCAAUAGGGAUAAAUCCGCACACUUAAAAUCUGUGUCCUGUGUUUAUAUUUUUCUGUAAAGUUGCUUUGAGACAAUGUCCAUUGUAAAAAGCGCUAUACAAAUAAAAUGUAAUUGAAUUGAAAGCUUAUUUUUUUAUUUUUGUCUUGCUUUAGUCUUUAAAAUCUCCUUGUUAUUUGAUGUGUUGACGUGAUUUCCACUGA